AGUGAACGCUGGCGGUAGGCCUAACACAUGCAAGUCGAACGGCAGCACAGUAAGAGCUUGCUCUUACGGGUGGCGAGUGGCGGACGGGUGAGGAAUACAUCGGAAUCUACUUUUUCGUGGGGGAUAACGUAGGGAAACUUACGCUAAUACCGCAUACGACCUACGGGUGAAAGCAGGGGAUCUUCGGACCUUGCGCGACUGAAUGAGCCGAUGUCGGAUUAGCUAGUUGGCGGGGUAAAGGCCCACCAAGGCGACGAUCCGUAGCUGGUCUGAGAGGAUGAUCAGCCACACUGGAACUGAGACACGGUCCAGACUCCUACGGGAGGCAGCAGUGGGGAAUAUUGGACAAUGGGCGCAAGCCUGAUCCAGCUAUACCGCGUGGGUGAAGAAGGCCUUCGGGUUGUAAAGCCCUUUUGUUGGGAAAGAAAAGCAGCAGGUUAAUACCCCGCUGUUCUGACGGUACCCAAAGAAUAAGCACCGGCUAACUUCGUG
rnacentral:rRNA from 1 species